AGCAUAUCAAUAAGCGGAGGAAAAGAAACCAACAGGGAUUACCUCAGUAACGGCGAGUGAAGCGGUAACAGCUCAAAUUUGAAAGCUGGCCCUUGCAGGGUCCGCGUUGUAAUUUGUAGAAGAUGCUUCGGGUGGGGCCCCGGUCUAAGUUCCUUGGAACAGGACGUCAUAGAGGGUGAGAAUCCCGUAUGCGACCGGCCGCCUCCGCCCGUGUGAAGCUCUUUCGACGAGUCGAGUUGUUUGGGAAUGCAGCUCAAAAUGGGUGGUAAAUUUCAUCUAAAGCUAAAUAUUGGCCAGAGACCGAUAGCGCACAAGUAGAGUGAUCGAAAGAUGAAAAGCACUUUGGAAAGAGAGUUAAACAGUACGUGAAAUUGUUGAAAGGGAAGCGCUUGCAACCAGACUUGCGCGUAGGUGAUCAUCCGGGCUUCUGCCCGGUGCACUCGCCUGCGCUCAGGCCAGCAUCGGUUUCGGUGGUGGGAUAAAGGCCUUGGGAACGUAGCUCCUCUCGGGGAGUGUUAUAGCCCUCGGUGCAAUGCCGCCUACCGGGACCGAGGACCGCGCUUCGGCUAGGAUGCUGGCGUAAUGGUUGUAAGCGACCCGUCUUGAAACACGGACCAAGGAGUCUAACAUCUAUGCGAGUGUUUGGGUGUCAAACCCAUACGCGUAAUGAAAGUGAACGGAGGUGAGAACCCUGAAGGGUGCAUCAUCGACCGAUCCUGAUGUCUUCGGAUGGAUUUGAGUAAGAGCAUAGCUGUUGGGACCCGAAAGAUGGUGAACUAUGCGUGAAUAGGGUGAAGCCAGAGGAAACACUGGUGGAGGCUCGCAGCGGUUCUGACGUGCAAAUCGAUCGUCAAAUUUGCGUAUAGGGCGAAAGACUAAUCGA
rnacentral:rRNA from 1 species